rnacentral:rRNA from 1 species
AGGACGAACGCUGGCGGUGUGCUUCACACAUGCAAGUCGAACGGGGUAGCAAUACCCAGUGGCGGACGGGUGAGUAACGCGUAGAAAUCUGCCUUGAGAUGGGGGAUAACAGUCCGAAAGGAUUGCUAAUACCGCAUAUGUAUACAUUCGGACACGGGUGUAUAUGAAAGGAGUAAUCCGUCUUAAGAUGAGUCUGCGUCCGAUUAGCUAGUUGGUAGGGUAAAGGCCUACCAAGGCGACGAUCGGUAGCUGGUCUGAGAGGAUGAUCAGCCACAAUGGGACUGAGACACGGCCCAUACUCCUACGGGAGGCAGCAGUGGGGAAUUUUGUGCAAUGGGGGAAACCCUGACACAGCGACACCGCGUGAACGAAGAAGCCCUUUGGGUGUAAAGUUCUGUCGGCUGGAACGAAAAAAUGACGGUACCAGCAAAGGAAGCAUCGGCUAACUACGUGCCAGCAGCCGC